rnacentral:rRNA from 1 species
UACGUAGGGGGCAAGCGUUGUCCGGAAUCAUUGGGCGUAAAGAGCGCGUAGGCGGCCCGAUAAGUCCGCUGUGAAAGUCCAGGGCUCAACCCUGGGAUGCCGGUGGAUACUGUCGGGCUCGAGUCCGGAAGAGGAGUGUGGAAUUCCUGGUGUAGCGGUGAAAUGCGCAGAUAUCAGGAGGAACACCGGUGGCGAAGGCGGGUCUCUGGGCCGAUACUGACGCUGAGGAGCGAAAGCGUGGGGAGCGAACAGG